GAGGAUAUAGCUCAGUUGGCAGAGUGCUUGUCUAGCAUGCAAAAAGUCCUGGUUUCAAUCCCCAGAAUCACCA
rnacentral:tRNA from 1 species